AAGGCAGAAACACACACGGUUGGGAACAUACAAUAUCCAUCCGCAGGUAGUAGCUAGCGAUGGCAUCCGACAAGUCCAUAGCCGCUUCCCCUGCGCUCGUGUUCCUUGCCGUGGCAGCACUCAUGGUGGCCGCUUCCGUGCGCGCCCAGGCUCCGACGCCUGCGCCCACGCCGGCUCCAGCACCAACUCCGGCUCCGACUCCAGCUCCGGCACCAUCCCAGCCUGCGCCCACGCCGGCUCCAGCACCAACUCCGGCUCCGACUCCUGCUCCGGCACCAUCCCAGAGUCCUUGCCCUCCCGGCUUCUCCAACUCCACCGCGUUUAUUCUAGGGGUGAAGCAGUUCCUUAGACGCGGCAUCCUUCUGUUGGGGCCCUUCCUUGCGCCGGUCAUCCCAGGCACCAGCACCACAAAAUGCUUGUGCUAUUACUCUACCAACAUCACCACCAACGUCCCGCCAUUGUUUGGGACCUUCCCGCUCCCGCCCAUCGUCAGGCCCAACAUCACUGGGCCCAUCGCAUGCGUGCGUGGACCGGCCACCAUUAACUUCUAACUAAUUACUCGGAUAUUAUAUAUAAAUAUAUAAUACUACGAAUAACGAGCUCAUCCUUUAUGUGUGUGCAUGCAUGCGUCGUGUCAGCAUGCAUGCGGAUGAGACUAAUUCGCACGUCACAGUACGCUGCGAUACUACAGGAGGAGAUGAGUUGAGUUGACGAUGUAACGGGGUGACAUUGUUCGUGUUGUGCUGUAAUAUGGCUAUCAGUUUGGCAGACCACUCUAAUCAUCAUUGAUAAUAAUAUUAAGUGGAUCUAUAUUGUUUUAAAAACAUUACUGCCAUUAUAAAAGUGUUACUCCCUCCGUUUCAAAUUACAUGUCGUUUUGGUUUUUUAGAUGCAUAGUUUUUGCUAUGCACCUAGAUAUAGUAUAUGUGCAUAAUAGUAUCUACCAACCUAGAAAAGUUAAAAACAGCCUACAAUUUGAAACGGAGGGAGUAUAAUAAGUAAACCCCUAAGUCUAUAUCUACUAAAUAAUCUACCUCUACCAUUAUAAAAAUAAUCUAAUAAAGUAACCACCUAAUAUUAAUCUUAAUUAUCGACAUACUUCUGCCAUUAUGAAAGGUAAUAUAAUUUGACUCCAUAAAUUUACAACCAAAUACCCACCUUUUUCAAUAAGAAAGAUCAUCUAAAGUGACCCCCUACAUUUGCAUAAAAAUUACCUAACUCAGUCAUUAUUGAAAAUAAACUAAAACAACCCCUUAGAUCUACAUGUAAAUUACCAAGAUAUGCUACUUAUGAAAAGAGUAUAAUAAAUUAAAGUAUCCCAACAUAUAUAUAUGCUUCAAAAUCACCGAUUUCUACCACUAAUAAUAUAUAAUAAAACAAACUUAAAGAAAGCAUACAUGUUGUGUGUCUAUAUAUAUAUAUAAUACCAUAGUUUCAGUGGGGAACCCAUAUGGUAGUCCUGGUGGGCCCAGGAUUACCAUGGAUUUGACCAUUUUUCAAUUAGUACUUAGCCUAGCCCAAUACAAAUAGCCCGCACGUUGCUCACAGUUAGUUUUGACUUCAAUUUUUCAAUCAAUUCUCCACAGUUAUGUGAUCAUUGGUCUACUUGAAUGAUUUACAAUAAUUAUUAUGUAUCGGAUCUUGAAAGGCUAUGUGAUAACUCAUAUGUUUACCAUUACAUUUUGUGUUAUGAUAAGUGAAUAUCAAUGUUUUAGUACUUUGCAAUAUUCCUUAUAGCAUACUUCUGUUACAAGGCCACAGCCACAACUAAGUCUUUGUAUUUUUGAGAUUGUUUGCUUUAACAUGACAACCAUUGAUUUGUAAUAUACCAUUUAAUUUUCUCUUUUGAGUGCUUAAUUUGUCAUUUGUUGCUAUUAUAUUUUUAGUUAUGCAAGUUUCAAACUUAUAUUUUGAAUUUAAGAUAUUAUAGGAAUUUUUUAAUAUAUUUGUAUUGUGAUUUUGAUUAUUUUAUACUUGUAUAUACCAUAUUUCUUGGAAAGGUAUUUCAAUUUGCAUGGCAAAUUAUACUCAUAUAUGAAAUUAUGUAUUGGUGUAUUGGCUGGCCAUGCCUAAAUUCAAAUCCUGGUCCGCCAGUGCAUAGUUUUACAAUCUUGGAAAAAGUUUCUUGAAUGAAUCACGUACCAGUGGCUCUAAGAAUGUAUUUUGGAUAAUACUAUUACUCUCUGAUAAUAUGUUAAUUGCUGCUUUAUACAAAUUUCUCAUGUUGGACGGAACAGUGUAACAUAUAUGUAUUAAUAGGUUAACUAUAAGCACUCAUUUUAAAAAAUAAUGUGUACUACCACACUCAUAAUUCUUUGAUAGAGGAAAACCAACAUUUUGAGCACUACUAUGCUGCAGGCUAAAACGCCUGCUUAUUUUAUUGUAGUAACUGAAAAGUGCAGCCUUGGACCUAGAAUGAGGAAUAAUGUAGAGCCAGUCUAGGACUUGAAUUUUUAGAUUUUUUUUUCUAAUGCAUCUCGUGAGGAAUAACGUAGGGCUAGCCUUUAUGAUGUGCCCAUUCAUAGAUUACAUAAAUACUGUCAUAUCUGCUUCAAGCUGUCCGGGCUGUGAUAUACUAUAUAAGAGAUUCUGCACAGAACCUAUUUCUGCAAUAGUUACAGUCCACAACUAGGCACACUUGAAAACUUUGCAGUGCAGUACAUCUGACUGUAACCACAGAACAGGUGAAUCGCAGCACGAGCAAACCAAGGAUAUGAGCUUUGCAGUGUAGAAAAAUUGACAAGGCAGAAUUACAGUAAAGAGACAGCUUAACCACAUGGCUUCAUGGUAGUUGCUUGACAUAAGCUCCUCUAACUUUCUAACUUAGCUGAGGCAGGGAGGCCUGCAUCGUAGCGAGCGGCGAUGUUGGUGAGGUUGCUUUUGUCGGGGACAAGCACGAAGGUAGCCUCCUUGAAGCCGAUGGUGUUGAUGCCCUUGGUGACAAGUCCACCAUUUCCAGAGCCUGCAUUCUGAGCUCCAUUGGGUAGUCCUUGACACAUCCAAUUCUUGGACCAGCCCCAGUGCUCCAUUUCAGGGACAGCCUGUGGCCAAGCUGAUAGGACUUGGACUCACCCUUGGACUUCAUCCUCUCAAGAAUCGCCUUCUGCAGGAUGCCAGUGGCUCUGGGACUUUGAAGGCCACCUGACAAGGUUCUUUCGUAGGUUGGUUUGGCUUGUUCUGCAGGAGCGUUCUCGCCUUCAUCGCCUUCUGUUAUGUUUGGAGAGGAAAUCACUUCUGGAGGAACUGAACCCAUGAAUUCAGCAGUAAGGUUCUGUGAACCAUCAGGCACCGGAUCUUCAUUGUAGUCUUCUUUGGUGGAUGAACGCACCUGAGUGGCCAAAACCAAGCACAUUAAAUGAAAUCAUCCGCAAUUUGGUGAGAGGAGCAUAUUUUAGCUUGUGAAUGGUUGAAAUGGUGUACCUCAACUUCUUUGAGAUCAACUCCAUUCUCUUCAAGGAAGUUCAUGAAAUUGCUUAGGUUCUCUGCGCUUGGUUUGUAGUGACCACUAUAGGCCCAGAUGGACUUAUCCAGAACAGAGCACAAAAAAUUAGCAGCCAAUAAGAAAGCACAGGAACAAGACAUAAUCAGAGUAUAAAAUAUUAGCAGGAUGAUAAAACAAUGAAAUGUAUGCAUGACACGCUCUUGAAAAAUUAGCCAGAUGAUAGAAUAAUGAAAGAACCCAUUAACUUGUCAUGGCUAAAUCAAGAUAAGUUGACAACUUGAUACUCCGAUGUGUACUAGAUAGAUGUAAAUUCAGAAACUACAUUUUCCCACUAUACUCCUCCAAAUUUCAGGGAAAAUAUUUUUAUGAAUGGAUAUGGUUUUAUAUUUUGUAUUUGUCCUCCAAAAAGUAUUUCAUAAACAUUUAUCAAUGGUAGCUUAUGGAAUAGAAAAGAAUGAUUUGAAGGACCAUGCACGAUGAAUUCAUCAAUUCCAAGACACCAAGAGAGCUUUUUGGUCAAAGGUGCUUGAUUAAGGGAUAGGCAAUAACCCAGGCAGGAAUACAAAGAAAGCAAAAUACUAUGAUAAAAAAUGCAUAAAAAGCUAACACUUAAUAGGGUAUGGUUGCUCAAAAAUACCUUGAUAAUUCCAUUUUCCGCUGUAAAUCUUCCAGCAGCUAUAGUAGUGCCUCCUGCUAAAAAGCUGGAAUGCUGGAAUACACCUCUCUCUUUCUGGAUGGAUAAAUCAGGAUACAGAAAUAGAUUUAGCGGUGCUAAACGUAAUGUAACAAAAUGAGACAUAAGACAUAUUAUUGUUACAGCAGAAAUGCAAGUGCAAAACCCGUAUGAGUACAAAAGUUACCUUCCCAGCAUACAGUCUUUUUGCUGUGCUCAUAACAAAAAUCCAUUUAGUCCCUUUAGGACCUUGGCUUGUAUCAAGUGGUUCUCCAGACUGUUUGUGUAUAAUCUUUCCCUCAUUAAUGAUGUAUUCAUAGUUCUCACGCUCUUGCUGCAAGACAUUAGAUAAUUGUCAGAGCUUGGAACCCUUUGGGAGGUUUCAUUCCAAGAAAAUGUUAAGUUUGCUAAAAAGAAAUUCCUUUUGCUGUGCUUGACUAUGUAUACUAUUUUAAAGCCAAUGCACUUCUGUUAAUGGUCAUGAUUCACGGUUUAAGUGAAUAAUAAUACGGACAGAAGCAGGACAGUUCGUGCUUGAAUCUAUUCAUGUUUGGAAUCGCAAUUCAGGCCUGAGGCUGCACCAAAUGCAGUUCAUAUAUGAAGCAAUUUGAUAGUAUAAGUUUCAAUUUGAGAAACAUAAUCUAGUACAAAGAUUGUAAUAUAUAUAUUUCUUAGAAAAGAUGAAUCGCAAAAGGCUUCAGAGACCAACAUAAAUUCUGCCGGUGAAGUCAGUCGAGCAAUCAUACAGCUCCUGACAGAUGCUUUGAGGAAGGUUAUAUGGCAUGAGUUCUAAACAAGGAUAGGCAGACAUUGUGGAACAUUUCUUACCGGACCAAGAUACUUAAUGCAUUGCUUCCUCAGCUUUGCUCUUGGACACUCUGGAAGGUCUAGCUCCUUUCCUUCUCCAACAUCAAGCCUGUAUGUGUCAACAACUCACUUAAAUUGUCAUGUAAUAAAACUGAACUGAAAUUCCUAGUAUAAACUGUGAUUCAACCUUAACUAAAAUAUCUGGUAUGAGCAGACAGUCAAAUAUGUCCACCUCUCUCCCAUUUGUUAUGCAGAGUGCACUACUUUGUUCAAAUAAGAGAAUCUGCAAAUGUAACUAUGCAAAUUGCAGCAAUGUUCUUACCAGUAGAAGAAGGGCUGGCCGGCUUGGCUUUGACACCAGACAUCGUAGUAGAAGUGCAGGUUGUGCCCAUAUCUAUGCCGCGGGUCGAUCUGUACAAGAACAAAAUGAAUACUGCUAUAAACAGGCAUUGCAUCUAGUGUAUCACUCUAAGAAGAGGAGAUGUGCAUCACUUGUAUGACGUCAAUAGUGGACCUUUUAUGAUCAAUGUUCGCACAUGACUUUUUCUUUUUGAAACCGAGAAUGUUCACACAUGACUAAAACUGCUAGGUCAACUGAUACUUAAAGUAGCCUCUUCACACACACAUGAGAGCACAGCAACAAAAUCUAAAGCAAAUACUACUAAACUGACAAACAGUACUCUAGUGGGAUUUGUACGAUUUGUACUCACAGCCUCGAUCCAGUGCUGGAAAGCCAGCUUGAGAGCCUUGCCGUCUCUGGAUAAACCCUGACCCACCUGUUACAAGCAAGCAAAAUGAGCAUCAAAGGAAACAAAAAAAGAAAAACGUUUUCUGGUGAAGAAGACAGAGGACAUGAGGGACUUUUGUGCAUGUUUUCUCAGGUAGCAAUUGGGGGCACCUUGGAUGCAUUGAGGCUGACCCGGUUCCAGCGCGAGGCGGCUGUCUCCGGCUUGGGUUCGUCGAAGAAGGAGACGGUGCUGUGGCUGAGGCGCGCGAAGUCCAGCGCCUGCCACCUUCAUCCAUUCAUCCGACAGAAAUAAAAAAAAAGAACCCUUCGUUUCAGUUAAAGCUUCCCCCCAAACAAAUCCUCAUCAGUUACCAUCGAUUUCAACAGCCGUUACCAUCAACAAGAACCAAAUUAGGCAUUUCUCUGGGGGACACCAAAAUCGCUAAGAAAGGAGGCACCUUUUCAUGGAACAGUACAUCAAGAACCAGUGGGGGAAAAUUGUACUAGUAAUGAAGGUUGUUUCAAGAAAGGGACCGCUCUCCUUUAACAAAUCAAACGGCACGAAAUAGGAGCCGGUAGUCUCCCAGAAGAGAUGGAUAUGAGUAGAAGUACCAGAGCUCCUCGACGACGACGGCGGAGUCGGCGAGCUUCCGGCGUGUCCGGUAGCCACGGUAAGCCUUCUGCAGCUUCGUCGCGGCGCCAUCCUCGCCGCUCCCGCCGGCGCUUCCCUCCACCGGCGGCGACGGAGAUUCCAGUUUGUCCGACUGAAACCUUGGAGGAUCCGUAGAAUCCAACCCCAGCGGAGGCGGCGCCGCCUCCACCUCCAUUUCUUUGAGAUUUUAGGAGCGAGAACGGUUCUGCUUGUGCAGUCAGCACCUUCGCAAAGUGUCGAGAGCAGAGCAGGUGGGGAAUUUAAUCCGGGUUAGCACGCGAGGCGAUGGAAUAAUUAAAUGCGUUUAAUCUUGAGGAUUGAGAGAGAGAGAGAGAGAGGAGGGGGUCGUAUCGUAUCUCAUUCGCCGGGGUGGUACGGACCUGCGGAUACGACGACGACGAGUCGUUGGCGCCAACUACCGGCUGUCCGGCUCUGUGCUUUCUGUUCCUUGGCGGGUGGCGCCAUUACUGCGCGAGGCGUGGCUGGCCCACAUGUCAUGGAGUGAUUAGCAGCAGCGCGAUGAUGACCAAGGCGUACUUGCUAGGACGACUAGCUACUAGCUACUGGUGCUAAUGGAAGACUGACUCUGACUCGGUGAGGAAGCUGGCACACGGCUGUGUGGGGGGUGACGGCCUCGACACCUGUCGCUCUCCGGCGCCUCCGCGCCGGAUCGGGACCGGUCGCCGUCGUUGUCGUCGACGGGCUGCACGCCCCCGUACGCGCGCACUCUGUGCUUUUUGUGCCUGUCGUGGCUCCUCUCUGCUCCCCGUUGCAGAAUCUUGUGCUAGGCUGCUAGCAUAGCACACACAACUCAGCUGACAGAGGUACUCCGUACUAUGCACUGCACCAACUCAGCUGACAGAGGAAUUGGAUACGUGAUAACUUUAGCAGUGUAACAUGAGAUCUUCACUAAUUAGAAAAACUAAAUAUGAGUUAAUUAUUAAACUAAUGCAGAACUCCUGUGUUAAUUCGCGAGAUGAAUCUAUUAAGCCUAAUUAAUUUAUAAUUAGCAAAUAGUUAUUGUAGCACCGCAUUUUCAAAUCAUGGACUAAUUAAAUUUAAUAGAUUCAUCUCGCCAAUUAGACUCCAUCUAUACAAUUAAUUUUGUAAUUAUUCUAUAUUUAAUAAUCUUAAUUAGCAUCUAAACAUCCCAUCCAAUAGUUGACUCGCAAGGCCCGCAGGGCUUCGAGAAUGGAGCCUGCAACCCGAUGGAACGCACGCCGAGGUCAACGUACGAGAACCAAGAUCGCAUCACGGCCGGGGCGUGUGCGUAUAUGGAAGGGAAAUAAAGAGCUACCUGCUCCCCAGAGAACAGGUCGAUCAGUCCAAGCUGUGACCUGUACACAACGUUCCGGACCCAUAAUAUUAUUAUUAAUAUUCAGGCUGCAGGCAGGGCCCAGCUGCACGUCACGGCCAACGGCCAACGGUGAGAAAGUCAGAGCUGGUAUUCUUGUACAGUUCUGCACCCAAUCAUGUGUCUGCCAAACAUGCAUCACACGGUCGCAUCACGUACGUCUCGCUUCAGCCUUCACUUAUCUCGGUUUUGCACAGGCAACCUCACAUGGUCUUCCUCUGAUUUCUCCGGACUAGCGGAUGCAGAUGAUGGCAUUUUGUUUGACCCUCCGACGCAGGGACGGGUUAGGACAGGAUAGGGAGAUUAGGGAUCAGCUAAGUUAAUCGAUGGACAAAAUAUUAAAACAUAUAUUUAGCUCUUAAAAGAAACAAAUGGACCAUGAGGGCGGAGCCUACUGCCUCCAUCCCUGUGUCCGACGUCCUGCAGUUGCGUUUUAUCCAUCGAUCUACGUGACAGGGACCGUUGUAUCCUAUCCAUGAGAUAACCGAUCUCUACGAUAUAGACACGCGUUGAAAUGGAUAUUAGAGGAUCUCCAGCAAAACUAUUGUAUUGCAAGAGUUUGUAAAAAAAAGUGCUUAGAGAGACUUUUUUCCUAAUAAUUAUUAGGACAACCCAAUAAUUCACCCCUAACUCUCCCUAAAUAAAGGAGAAGUUUAACUAUCCAAAUAAUACGGUAGAAGUUGUGACUAUCCCAACUCUCCCAGUAACAAUGAAAUGGAUAUUGGGAUAUCCCAUUAAUUAGUUAUUAGGAAAUAUUUAUUGCUCUUAGGAUAAAAAUAGCGAGCUAGUAUAAAAAUCGCAAUAUCUAAUAAUUAAUUUUCCCAUCUACAUACUACAAUUAAGAAAUACAGCGGUCGAUAUAUCACAAAAUUAUAUCAUUCCUGCACUAGCACGUGGCACGGUAGUAUCCUACUUCCCUUGUGUCAAUUACUCUAUUAACCGAAUUGCUUGGUAACCACUACAUAAAGAUACACCGGUUGAUCCACAAAAUCAUAAGAAAAAACCAGAUAAAAAGGAAAACAAAGGAGAGUUUAAAAAUAGGGUGCAAGGACCAGGGACGACGAAGCGAGGUGACGGUGGCAACACCAUCCGAGCGGUAGAGGCACGGGAGCGAGACUGCGAGCAUGGGCAGUGGUUAGGAAGGGUGGUCGGGUGGUCGGGUGGAGAUGUGGAGUCUGAUUGAUUUUAGCAAGUCAAAGUUUUGGCAAAUCAACCUUUUAGCUACUAUUAUUUGAUUUGCUUCUAAAAUUUGCCAAUAUCUUUCAUUUAUUUUAUUGAAAUAUUGGCAAGCCUUUUGCUCAUCUCUUAGCUUGCUAAAAUUUUAGCACGCCUAAAUUUUGGCAUAUCAAUCAUGCUCGUGGUUUCGGGAGGCGGAGAGAACCACCGGUACGGUGUUGAAGAUAUAAAGUUGCACGUGCAGUUCGCAUGUUGCCAUAACCAAUUGCUCUAGCAAGUAUAUUGGUGUUAUCUAACAGGGGUCUUAUGCAUUGAUACGUAAUCUUGAAACGACUUAACAAACAAUCUGUACAAUGGAUUAUCUUUUUAAGUUAUCUUAUAGUAAUUAUAUUUUCUUAAUUUGUGCAUAGAAAAAAAUAUUGUGAGUUGCAUGCAACCACAAGUCGUACAAUAAUGGUUGAGUAGUCAUCUCAUAAUUCUAAAAUGCGGUUAUUUCGUGAAAUAAUAACCUCUUUCUCUCUCAUUACCCUCUCUCCUCCAUAUAAGCAAAAUCUUACAUGGUAUUUGUUGGCGCUAGAAAUCGGUCAACCGAGUCCCAGCGACCGACACACGACCCGGGAGAAUCUGCUUAGCUCCUGUUCGGGUGAAUGCCCUGGUGCGGUUCGCGCGGCGUGCCAGCCAAUCUGACCUGUUGAUUGGCAAGGAAGAACACGUGUCAGGUUCAGAAACUACGAUCGGCUAGGUUUCCGAUCGAGAGAGUUUAUCGGCGAAUCGGCCGAUUUACUGUAACAAUGAAAUCGGCUAUAAGUCAGCCCGAUCCCUAUAGCCUUGUAGAUAGAAGAAUACUGAAGUAAUUGGUACAAAGCUUAUGAUAACAACACUAGGAAAAGAUCUAAUCGGCAACGAAUGGAUCUAACUAUAGAAAAUAAUGAAAGCCGAUACUACUGAUUCCUAGUGAGAUAAUUGGUGAUAAAAACUAGGAAAAUAGGUAAAAACCUAUGAAUCUAGUUGAUAUCGAUAACUGAUGAAUAAAUCUAAACGAAACAACAGCGAUGCGCCGGAAGUUAAAGCCUAGAUGUUACUCGAUAAACGGAACUUACAGAAUCGGCCGGAGGUCAAGAUGAUGCAGUCCUGCCAACCCGCACGAACUCGUGAGAAGAAAAAGUAAUGGCGAAGUCGCCUGCUCGAAAGUAAGUACGAAGAAGAAGGUAACUUGUUGUAUUGAUUGAUUGUUGUGUUUACAGAUUUACAAAGGUAGCUAUUUAUAGCCCCGUAUAGAUAACUUCUUAACCGACUAGAAUUCUAUCUCUAAUUCAAACAGAAAACAAAUAUCUACAAGCACAAUUCGUACUAGGUUAGCUACCCCACGCUUCGUGGGCUGACCUCCACCUUAUCCUUCCAUCCCUUUCCAAGCCCAUACAGGCCCAAUUAGUCCAUCCUCCUGAUCGGCCGAUUUCUCAUCAGCAAAGGAUUGCCGAUUGGGAGUCUGGCGCAUUCUCCCUGAAGCGAAGCAAAAGCUGCCAACCGAUUCCUCACUAUAGCACCAUUUGGCCGAUUCCCAACUGUACUUCUCCGAUUUCUUUUCUUCUUGACGCCGAUUCUACUGGUGACGAAAUCCGGCGUCAACACAUGCCCCCCAGUUUCGGAGUAAAACACAGUCUUUUACUUCGAAAUUCUUCAUAACCUCUCCUCCGAAACGGCCGCAGUGAAAAUAUCCUUCCGUUUCGCGGUCUCCCGGCUGAUCAUUGCAAAUUUUGAAACGGGCGCCCACGACAGCCACUACCCCGAAAAACUCGAAGCGCCGGCGCGGUGAAAAUUCCAUCUUUACCCUCUCUUCAGUCAUCCUAUAAAUAGCGUUUCACCGCAGCUCAUCUUCAAGCUCACGUCUCUUUUUCCAACGCGCGCGCAUCCUUCUUCCUUAACUCUCCCUUGCCAUCGAAGUUUUCUAGUUCCAGUUCCUGUACUUCCUCCUCCUUCCCUCCGAUGGCGACUCCUUCCGGCAGCUCUCCCGCACGCAAUGAUCCAGAGAUAGUGCCUCCGGUGGUGGUAACGACGGCCGUCACUUCAUCUGCAGAUAAAGGAGCUUCAUCAGAGAUCCCAAUGGCGAUCCCCAUCGUGGCCCCGUCGUCCGCAUCCGCAUCGGCGACCACACCGAUUACUCAGAACUUCAUCCCAGAGGUAAAUACCGAAUCUUUCUCCUAUCGGCAAUGUAUUUACCUUAGAUCUGUUUCUUACACCUCCAUACUCCCUUUCUUUUUUAGGCAGUUAGGCAUAGAAUUACCAUUCACCUCACGGGAAGUCCCGGCCUUAUUUGUCUCGGUCGUAUGGGAAACCCAGAUCCAACAGAUCUCAUAAAUUUGGAAACCGACCGGAUACCUUUCAAACGGUCUGACAUGAACCUAGAUCACUGGGUGGGUACUUUUAGAUCCUGGCCGAAUGAAACCCCGAGUUGGCGGGAAUGGUACCAACGGAUGGCUGCAUCAAGGAGCGUCUCAUGGGAAGAGCUCAAAAUCGGCCAGUGCAUCAACCUCUCCUUAUCUCAGAUGGAGAAAAAUGAACCGUUAGUGAUGGCGGCUUCUUAUUUUUGGUCUGAUGCACUUAAUGCAUUCUUAUUUGGGCAUGGUCCUAUGACCCCCACACUGGCCGAUGUGGCCCUGUUGACCGGCCUUGACAUAUCCUCCCCAGAUACACCCUUCCAACUUUUAGUCACAACGUCACAUCGGCUGGAUACAAGGGGAAUCGGCGGGUGGAAGGGCUUCAUCAGAAGUAAUAAGAGAACAGGGACCGUUGAGAACAGGGAGCACACGGCUUUCCUGAUGAUGUGGCUAGAAAAACACUUCUUUUGCGGAAGAGCUGUCGGCCCAACAACCAACACUCAAGCUUUAGCCGAAGCACUGUCCAAAGGAAGCCAUAUCCCCCUCGGGAAACAUCUGUUAGGGGCUGUAUACCAUAUGCUCCAUCAAAUCGGCACAAGACUAUCCAAGGGAGAGCCGAUCGGUAACCAAGGCGGGCCUUGGUGGUUCGUCAAUCUGUGGUUGAACCUUUAUAUGAGCAGAAUCACCCAACAGCCGGUGGACCAUAUGACGUUCCCCAACAUCGAAUUGGCAGAGGACCCCACCGAACGUCGCCGAUGCAUGUCUUUCGGCGAAGCGGCGUCAGCUUUUCCAGGUUGCGCGUAUUCUGCUACAAAGGUAGCCGAGUACUUUCGAUGCUUCUAUAAUGGAUUUAAUGAAACCGCAACCAUUUGGUUUCCGUAUCAGCGAGAUGACCCGAUCUUUGAGCUCCCCACUUGCUUUAAUCCGGCCUCCGGCCGAUUUGAUGAAGAUCUCUAUGAAGGGUUGAUCAAACCGGGACUCCUACCAGCCAACUUCUUCUCAGGGAAGGAUGCCCCUACAUACGAAUUCUACAACCCUUCCGUUGCAGCACGACAAUUCGGCAUGGGUCAGUUGCCGAUUCAAGUGUACUUUGCUGGUAGAAUCAAGUUUAGAGAUGAGCUCACCUCUGGCCCGGACUACGGUCGGUUGCGUGACCGAAUUCCGGAUUCCAGUACAAUUGACUUGAACGACUGGCUAGUAGCUCCAUUUGCUGUCCAGCCGUUCAAACUCUGGUGGGCCGAAUGGAAACAAUUUCUCUUCUGCAACUCAGCAUCGGCAUACUGCAAUCUUCUGGACCCAGCCAACAUUGACCCAAACGCCGAGGUACUUCACAUAACCGAUUUUUAUUCCUUUUCAUUCCUCUUAACAUGAUUGAGUACUAAUGAUUUUAUUAUUUCUUUAGGCUGAGAAUCGAACCCCUCCAACACACAGCCGCAGCGGACGACUAAUAGAGAGUCAUCCAUACACUACUUAUCCCCUUAUCGGCUAUAACGCCCCGUCUGUUGACGUGAUCGCUGGCCGAUCGAAACAAGUUCAUCAGAGGACCACUAAAAAGACCAGUCGCCGAGUCCGGGCUCGUACGGAAUCAGCGGAUCCUCCUGUGCUUGCAUCGGCAGAAACCUCAACCGCACCACCUUCUCAGGUCUUUCAAGGUGUCGAUAUUCAAACCAUCACGCAAGCUGGGGCGGCCGCCGCGUCGUUAUUGUUGGAAGCCAUACAGGUAAACCGGAGUUUUACUGCCUCCGAUUGUUAUUUUGAUAUUAACCCACUUUUAACCUUAAACUGCACAGAGUAUCCCUACGGGAAUACAACAAUCGGCAGCAGCUCCACCAGCCAUCGACGCGCCCCCACUCCCAUCUGUUGAGGUAUUAGAACUUAUCUUACCGAUUUCCUUCGGGUAUUUACAUAAUGUACUUAUUCAAACCUCUGACACAGGUCAUCGGCACAUCAAUCGCUCCUCGACCGCCGAUUCCUUCUCAGGGGGCUGGUCCAAGCGCCACGCCGAUUAUCGUGGAGUCUUCUUCAUCUGAUGAACCCAUGGGGCAGGCUCCUGAGCAAGGCAUGACGGCUUCACAAGUGCAACAUGAGGAAAUUCGCUUCAAAAUAGUAAGUCUCUAUUUUGGCUUCUAUCUAGCCGAUUUGCCCUUACUUCCAGCCGAUUUAUUUCUUUUCUUUAUUAUCUCCAGGAACAGGAUACCCCCGACAACAGCCUCUUUUCUUUUGCGGUCGCCCUUUCUGACGACGAAGAGGUUGCUUCUUGCCAAGUCGCCUUGAGUUCCGUUCCUGAUGACGUCCGAGCCAAGCUCUCCAGCAUCCGAUCCCUCCUUCAAGGGGACAUCGGCCGACUAGUAGAAGACGCUUCACCGAUUCGGCAGCUUUUCAAUGACGUCAGCGGACGAGUACCAGAAGAGGCGGAGGAGGCCCUGGCGCCGGCGGCCUUCAUCGAGUCCAUGAGGAUCCCGGUCUUUAGAGCCCUUCGUCACAUGGCCGAUCGCGCCAAGCUGACCAAAACUCGCGAAGAGGAAGACGCUUUCAAGCGUCAGGCUCAGGAGGCGCAUCGGCGUAUCCAUGUUCUAGAAGAUUCCCGUCCGGCGAUCAUAGGUGAGAUAGACCGCCUCAAGCGUUGGAGGGCGGAGCUUGCCAAGGAAAUGGAGCAAGUGACCAAAGCAAUCAGUGCCGAAGAGAACAAGCUCCAAGAGCUACCCUCUGUUAUUGCCGAUUUGACACGGGAGAGGCAACGCUUUGCUCAUGAGGCCUUGAGACUCCAUCGCAGCGCAUCGGAGGUCCCUGGAUCGGCGGAAGAAGACCAACGGGUUCUUGACUCUGCCGAUCAGAUCCGGCGUCGGGCCAUCACGGCUAUCGAUACCCUUCUGGGUAAUCUGUAAAGCACUGACCGUUUUGUACGAACAUUUAUUAUCUUCUUUGACCGUCACUCGCGACGCCCUUUCUAUUUAUUGCCUUUUUAUUACCGAUGGGACGUGGCUUUACCAGAUUUCCACGCAUUUUUCCAUAAAUACCGACCUCGGCGCUCAUUCCCGAUAGCACCAACUUAGCUCUCGGUUUACUUCUCUCCCCCUUCUCAUCGGCGCAACUUCUUUGUCAUGGCCUCUUCGUCUUCUUCUUCCUCUGUUAACUAGGUGAAGUCUUUGACCUCUACUUCCCUUCUUUCUUAGACCCAAGGAAGAGAAUGUCCCUCCUUAAUCCUUCUUUGUUUCAGCCUCAACGCCUUAGCCCCGAGCUCGUGCGCGCCAUUGAGUGCAUUCAUUCUGAAGACCCAUUGACAUGGGAGGACAAGGUGCUGGUCGUGGCUCACCGAGAGGGACUCCAGGACCACAUUACUGCAGAGGCUCGUGUGGUCUUGGAUUCCGUGGUGAGUGAAAGUAACCGUCAAUCUCUACCCACCAGGAGCCAUCAUUGUGACGAUCUCAAAGACGAUGUCGCCACGGCGGCCCGAACGAUCCUGGACUUCGUGGAGAGGAACGGCAGCCGGCGACCUCCCACCGACAGGAGUCAUCCACUUACUCGGCGAGUCGUUCUCGAAGACGCGGGGGCGGGGACUUCGCACCCUCCCGUGGAUCGGAGUCAUUUCCUCCCUCGUCAAGUUGAAGCGGAGAUUUCAAUGAAGGCCAUAGAGGAAGGAUACCUCCGUCUCAUGAUAGAGUUAGGUCGGGCUGAGAGGGAGCGCAAGAAAAAGAAUAAUUAGUUAUUGUAUUUUUUGUUCUAAGGGCGACUAAAUGUUUUGUCGGCCAGGUAACCUGUCGCCCAUACCGAAUGGAUGUAAUCGGCCGACCCGGACGACUAUGUGUUUGAACCGAUCCGUAUCGGCUGUGUGUUUGAACCGAUCUGUUUCGGCUAUGUGUGAUUAUGUCACGGUCAAUUUCUCACGCUCCGACCCGUAUACUUGGGUAAUAUCUUUUUAAGUACCUUCCAUUCAGGGCUCUAGUGAAUUCUUCUCCUUCUAUCAUUUCCAAAAUGUAGGCAUUUCCUGGAGCGCAUCUGCCGAUUUUAUACGGCCCUUCCCACGUAGGAGACCAUUUGCCGAAUUUAGGAUCUUUCGACCCGAUCGGUAGUACCAACUUCCAUACCAAGUCUCCGGGAGAAAACUGCUUGACUUUGACCUUCUUAUCGUACCACCUGGCUACUCUCUUUUUAUUCUCUUCGAUACUUAUCAGAGCCCUUAGUCGUUGGCCGGCCAAGUCGUCAAGUUCUCCUUUCAUCAGAGAUGAGUAAUCAUCGGCUGACAACUGGUCCUGAAGUGAAAUGCGCCUUGAUCUUGCCCUUGACUCCCAUGGCAGUACUGCAUCGUGGCCGUAUACCAGCUGAUAGGGGGAUAACUUGGUAGCUCCAUGACAGGCCAUUCUAUAUGCCCACAGGGCCUCAGUCAAACACAGGUGCCAUUUCUUCGGAUUUUCUUCAAUCUUCCUUUUGAUCAACUUGAUUACUCCUUUAUUGGAGGAUUCCGCUUGACCAUUGGCUUGAGCGUAAUACGGAGAAGAAUUCAACAAUUUGAUGCCCAUAUCGGUCGUAAAUUCCUCAAAUUCCCCCGAUGUGAAUAUUGUUCCUUGAUCGGUUGUUAUAGUUUGAGGGAUACCGAAUCGGUAGAUGAUAUGGUCCCUUACGAAGUCGGCCAUGAUACCCGAAGUCACAGUCCUCAAUGGGAUUGCCUCCACCCAUUUGGUGAAGUAAUCAGUAGCUACCAGAAUAAAUUUGUGCCCCUUGCUCGAUGGUGGAUAAAUUUGGCCGAUGAGGUCUAUUCCCCACCCCCUGAACGGCCAUGGCUUGAUGAUGGGAUUCAUAGCCGAUGCGGGUGCACGUUGGACAUCUCCAAACUUUUGACACUCCUGACAACCCUUAUAAUAUUUGAAACAGUCUUCGAGGAUCGUAGGCCAAUAGUACCCGUUGUUUCUGACCAUCCACUUCAUCUUAUGUGCCGAUUGGUGAGCUCCGCAUACCCCUUCAUGGAUUUCUCCCAUUAGAGUCUUGGCUUCUUCUGUCCCAAGGCAUUUAAGGAGGACACCGUCGAUCGUCCGGUAGAACAGAUCAUCUUCGAGCAGCACGUAUUUGGUGGCGUGAAAGCGUACUCAUCGCUCCACCUUUUUAGACGGAUCCUUCAGGUAAUCGGCAAUUUCUUUGCGCCAAUCGUCGGCUGCAAGUUCUAAGGCCAUGGCGCCCAGAAUCGGCCGAUACCCAGAUGCGUGCUGGGCGAGUUUGUUUGCUUCCUCGUUGCGGUCUCUUGGAAUAUGCUCGAUUACUGCCGAUUUGAAUUCUUUUAAAAGCUGUACGCAAUCUUCGUGAUAGAUUUUUAAUAUAUCAUCUUUGCACUCAGCCCUUCCGGUUAGUUGAUCCACAAUUAGCAUAGAAUCCCCGAAGAUCUCAACAGAAUCGGCCUUGAUUUCUCUCAAUAAUUGUAAGCCUUUCAAUACAGCUCUGUACUCCGCUUGAUUGUUAGUGGCGGCGGUUUCUAUCGGCAGAGAAAAAUCAUAGCUUGCCCCCCGAGGCGAUAUGAGGACGAUGCCGAUUCCUGAUCCGACCCCGCAUGAUGACCCGUCAAAAAACAAUUGCCAAGGUGCUAGUUCCACGAGGGCGAUCUCCGGUCCACAGUGCUGGGCGACGAAAUCGGCCAUGACUUGACCCUUGACGGCUUUUGCCGAUUCAUACCGUAGGUCAAAUUCUGAUAAAGCUAAAAUCCAUUUACCGAUUCGUCCUUUCAAUAUCGGCAGCGACAGCAUGUAUUUCACUACAUCAUCUUUGCAUACGACUAUACAUUCUACCGACAGUAGAUAGUGCCUGAGUUUGGUGCACGAGAAGUAAAGACACAAACAUAAACGCUCCACCGGAGGAUAUCUUGUUUCGGCAUCCAGGAGUCUCCUACUGACGUAAUAAAUGACCCGCUCUUUGCCUUCAAACUCUUGGACUAGGACCGACCCAAUAGCUUGUUCAUCGGCUGAUAAAUACAGUUUAAACGGCUUACCAGUUUGAGGGGGAACCAAGACUGGGGGUGAGACCAAGUAUCGCUUGAUAUCUUCUAACGCCUUGCGCUGUUCUUCUCCCCAUAUAAAUUCCUGGUCUGGCUUCAACUUCAGAAGUGGCGUGAACGCCUGAAUUCGUCCAGAUAGAUUAGAUAUAAACCUUCUGAUGAAGUUUACCUUGCCGAUUAGAGACUGUAGCUCAGUUUUGUUCUGUGGGGCGACGACUUUGUUGAUGGCCGCUAUGGUCUUCUGAUUGACUUCUAUACCUCGUUCGUGCACCAUGAAUCCUAAGAACUGUCCGGCGGAGACGCCGAAGGCGCAUUUGUUGGGAUUCAUCUUAAGACCAUGCUUUUUGGUACACUCUAGCACCCUUCGCAAAUCGGCUAGGUGUUCCUCGUGGCUUUUGGACUUGACUACAACGUCAUCGAUGUAGAUCUCCACCAGGAGGCCAAUGAGUUUGUGAAAAAUGUAGUUCAUGGCUCUCUGAUAUGUAGCACCAGCAUUCUUCAAGCCGAAAGUCAUCACUACCCACUCGAAUAAACCAAGAUGGCCUGGACAUCUGAAAGCCGUUUUGGGUAUGUCCUCUUCGGCCAUAAGUAUUUGAUUGUACCCGGCGUUUCCAUCCAUAAAGCUAAUAAUUUUGUGUCCCGCGGCGGCGUCGAUCAAUACAUCGGCCGUAGGCAUGGGGUAACCAUCCAUCGGUGUGGCCUGAUUAAGAUUCCUGAAAUCAACGCAAACGCGCAGCUUCCCGUUUUUCUUGUAAACUGGCACGAUAUUAGAAAUCCACUCGGCAUAACGACACUGCCGAAUAAAUUUUGCUUCAAUUAGCCGAGUUAUUUCAGCUUUUAUGUCUGGUAAGAUUUUAGGAUUGCAUCGCCGUGCGGGUUGUUGGUACGGCCGAUACCCUGGCUUUAUGGGUAGCCGAUGUUCAACAAUAGAUCGAUCUAAUCCGGGCAUCUCGUGAUACUCCCAAGCAAAACAAUCCUUGAAUUCUCUUAAUAAAUUUGUCAAUUUACACUUAUACUCUGGAUCUAAAUCUGCACUAAUAAAAGUCAGCCUUGAUUUGGUUCCAUCACCUAGGUCUAUCAUUUCUAAUGAAUCGGCCGACGUGAAUCCGUGUCCCAGCUUCCCAUCUUCUCGGGCGAACUGAUCCAUCUAUUCUGCGUCUUCGGAGCCGACUGCUCGGAUCGGCUGUAGGCCAAAAUCGGCGACCUUCAGGAAAUCGGUCUCCCACACCCUGCCUGAUAUGCACCUGACGGUUUCGCAGUUCCACUGCUGCGUGUCGGCUACUGCAAUGCUGUACGCGGAGUCGGCUUUGACCACCUCAAUGUUAUCACCGACCCACUGUACGAGGCACUGAUGCAUAGUUGACGGGAUGCAGCAGUUUGCGUGUAUCCAGUCUCGGCCAAGAAGCAUAUUGUAGGAUCCCUUGCCAUUAAUAACGAAAAAAGUGGUAGGAAGGGUCUUACUGCCGAUAGUGAGGUCGACGCAGAGAGCACCGCGGGCGUUUGACACCUUGCCUUCGAAGUCCUUGAGCAUCAUGUCCGUCCUGGUCAGGUCGUCAUCGCUUUUCCCCAGCUUUCGGAGUACGGCGUACGGCAUAAUGUUGACAGCAGCUCCUCCGUCGACCAUCAAUCUAGUAAGGGGGCGACCGUCAACAUGCCCUUUAAGGAACAAUGCCUUCAUAUGUUGUCGUUCGUCAUCUUCGGGCUUUUCGAACGUGGCCAUCAUUGGCUCCAAAGCCAACUGCGCUGUCUGUUCUUCUAUCGCCGAUACGUCCUGUUGAUCGGCGGGAGUCAUGAACUCCAUCGGCAGUAUGAAAACCAUGCCGAUCUCGGCUGCCGAUUCGUCGCCCGCCGAUUCAUCGUCUCUUUUGCCGUUCCUUUUGGGGCGCCACACUUGAGGCCUCUCUUCCUUCUUGUCUGCCGUGCUCUGUUGCUCUUCCUCUUGUUGUUCCCAUUGGCGGAGACGCUGGAUUCUCCGUUUUUGUGACUUGGUCAAUCCGUCGGGGCACUACCUGGGGUUUAUUGGCCUCCCCUCUGUCCUGGCGCGUUCCCACUCUGGUUCGCGUCCUAACGGGUUCUCGUCCGUUACCCGAGCAUCGGCCAUGUCUUCGAGCCGGCUAUGGACGCUGGCUUUGUUGUUUGACUGAUCAUGUCGAUCAGCCCUGCCCCCCUGCCUAUCAUGGCGUCUAUUUUCCGACCGAUCAUAUUGGUCACUUCUGCCCCCCAGCCGAUCACGCACGGGAGGGCGCUGGUCAACUUGGUUGCGCCAAUUCCUGCUGAUCGGUUCUGGCCUUCCGUCUCUGGAGCGAGACCUGGUGAACGGCCGAUUGCCUCGAUAGGGACCGUUGCACUCUGGGCAAGUAUCGGCCGACGGUAGCCUGAGGUUAUUUUCCCAACAAUGAAUGAAGAAUGGGCAUCUCCAGUGCUCCUCGUGCCGACGCAUCGCUUCCUCUCGAGACCUCGAACGUUCAUGUUGGCGUUGGUACUUUUGGAGCAGGAACUGGGAAGUAAUACGUGGCCCUUCUGACUCACCAUCAUCGUCCUCCAUUCGUCGCUUUCCUUUGACGUCUUCAGACGUAACUUGAUUUCUGGGAUCGACAGUGCCACUCUUUCUGGCCGACUCGGACGUCAGCACUUUUGUUUGGAGGGAAUUCUUUCCCGUAUCAACCAUGUUGGUAGGAAAGGGGUGUUGAUCGAUCUUCAUUGGUUUGGCCGAUUUUGCCGGCACUUCAAAUUUGAGCCUGCCUUGCUCAAUGGCCGACUGUAUUUGUUGCCUGAAGAUUUUGCACUCGUUGGUAUCAUGUGAUGUGGCAUUGUGCCACUUGCAAUACUUCAUUUUCUUCAAUUGUUCGGCAGAGGGUAUUGUAUGGUAAGGCGAGAGUUUAAUCUGCCCUUCCUGGAGUAGAAGAUCGAAGAUUUUAUCCGCUUUAGUUGUAUCGAAACCGAAUGCUUCCGGCUCCUUCUUGCCGAACGGGCAUGAUAUCGGCUUCUUUCCCUUAAUCCACUCUGCAAGUCCGAUCUCGGCAUCUUCCUCGUCCUCUACUUCCUCCAGGAAUGCUACUUUCUUCUGGAAAUUCCUUCUCGGAUCGAACGGACGCACUUCUUGUCCGGACAAUCGGUGAACAAUCUGGCUCAGACUCUCGAAUUCUUGCGAGGUAUAUUUCUCUUUAAUGUGUGGCAGAAGGCCUUGGAAAGCUAUAUCAACCAAUUGCGCAUCGGUCAGAGCCAGGGAGUAGCAUUUGUUUCUGAUUUCCCGAAACCUCUGUAUAUACGAGGGUAUCGGCUCAUCACUUCUUUGCCGAAGGCUAGUCAAAUCGGACAGCUUCAUUUCAUGGACCCCGGCAUAAAAGUAUUUGUGGAAUUGUCUUUCUAGAUCGGCCCAUGUAAUAAUUGAGUUUGGUGGUAGAGUCGUGAACCAUUGAAAGGCCGAUCCAGACAAGGACGAUGAGAACAACCGUACCCGUAGGGCAUCUUGCGUAGCUGCUUCCCCGCAUUGGAUGAUGAAUCUAUUCACAUGCUCUACGGUAGAAGUGUCAUCCAUCCCCGAAAAUUUGGUAAAAUCAGGGACCUUGUACCGAUAGGGAAAUGGCAACAAGUCAUAUGUAGAUGGGUAGGGUGUUCUAUAGGUAUAAGUUUGCACUUUCGGCUUCAAGCCGAAUUGUUCUUGCAUUACCUCUGCAAUUUGCGCCGACCAAUCUGGUUGUUGCUGGGGAACAAUUGGUGGUGGUAUUGGCACGUGCUGAUAAAUCGGAGGCUGAAUAAAAGGAGAUUGAUGAAGAGGUGGUAUCUGAGUAUAAGCCGGUGGAGUAGUAAAGGACGGCUGCUUGUAUGAACCACUUGUCUCAUCAUAUAGCAUGAGAUCUGACGUCUUGUUGACCUCCGGAGCGAUAGGCUGGUAUGGUGGUAUGAUCGGCCGAGUGGCCGUUUGGGAUGGUGUCUGGAACGGAGGAUUUCCUUGACUGACCGAUUGAUUCAAACCGGCCGUGUUUAAAGGUGCCCCCCAGGGUAAAGGGCUGACUGGAGGGAAUGGUGCAGAGGACAGUUGGAUAGAACAAUAUCCCAAAGGAGUUGAUGACGCAGAAGCACCGGAUCCACCGACAGAAGAUUGGAUCGGCUGUGAAGCCUGAUAAGCCUGAUUUGGUGGAAUCGGCUGAAAAUACGUUGGUCCCCUGUACCCUUGAGGUAUACCUUCGGCGAAGGAGUUGACAACAGCAUUGUGCACCAUGUUUGAAACUACCGGGGAUUGAUUGAUGAAGGCGUGAUGAAGAGAUUGUUGAAUCAUAUCGGACAUUUUAUCCGAAUCUUCAGAAAUUGUGAUCUGACGGGGGAUAGGGAAAGGAGUCUUUUUAACUGUCUCCCCGCUCCUGGAACGACUGAAGGAUUUCAAGCAAGUUUUCCGGACUUGCUCCAAAUAAUUAUUCAGAUCUUCCUUUUGGUCGUCCUUUAGAUCUGCUUCCGUCACUUCGAUGACGUUUUCUUCCGAGACUUCAGCAGCUUUUGACAUGAUAGCGGUUGUAUUGGUCCCACCGGGCGUGCCAAAAGUGUGUUGGCGCUAGAAAUCGGUCAACCGAGUCCCAGCGACCGACACACGACCCGGGAGAAUCUGCUUAGCUCCUGUUCGGGUGAAUGCCCUGGUGCGGUUCGCGCGGCGUGCCAGCCAAUCUGACCUGUUGAUUGGCAAGGAAGAACACGUGUCAGGUUCAGAAACUACGAUCGGCUAAGUUUCCGAUCGAGAGAGUUUAUCGCCGAAUCGGCCGAUUUACUGUAACAAUGAAAUCGGCUAUAAGUCAGCCCGAUCCCUAUAGCCUUGUAGAUAGAAGAAUACUGAAGUAAUUGGUACAAAGCUUAUGAUAACAACACUAGGAAAAGAUCUAAUCGGCAACGAAUGGAUCUAACUAUAGAAAAUAAUGAAAGCCGAUACUACUGAUUCCUAGUGAGAUAAUUGGUGAUAAAAACUAGGAAAAUAGGUAAAAACCUAUGAAUCUAGUUGAUAUCGAUAACUGAUGAAUAAAUCUAAACGAAACAACAGCGAUGCGCCGGAAGUUAAAGCCUAGAUGUUACUCGAUAAACGGAACUUACAGAAUCGGCCGGAGGUCAAGAUGAUGCAGCCCUGCCAACCCGCACGAACUCGUGAGAAGAAAAAGUAAUGGCGAAGUCGCCUGCUCGAAAGUAAGUACGAAGAAGAAGGUAACUUGUUGUAUUGAUUGAUUGUUGUGUUUACAGAUUUACAAAGGUAGCUAUUUAUAGCCCCGUAUAGAUAACUUCUUAACCGACUAGAAUUCUAUCUCUAAUUCAAACAGAAAACAAAUAUCUACAAGCACAAUUCGUACUAGGUUAGCUACCCCACGCUUCGUGGGCUGACCUCCACCUUAUCCUUCCAUCCCUUUCCAAGCCCAUACAGGCCCAAUUAGUCCAUCCUCCUGAUCUGCCGAUUUCUCAUCAGCAAAGGAUUGCCGAUUGGGAGUCUGGCGCAUUCUCCCUGAAGCGAAGCAAAAGCUGCCAACCGAUUCCUCACUAUAGCACCAUUUGGCCGAUUCCCAACUGUACUUCUCCGAUUUCUUUUCUUUUUGACGCCGAUUCUACUGGUGACGAAAUCCGGCAUCAACAGUAUUACAUGAGAUGACCUAUGAAACUGCUGUAGUGUAGCAAUAUACUUCCUCUUAACUAGAGAGUCAGUGAACUUCACAGUGGUCAAAUAAAAGAAUUUGAAGGCCUUCUUAUAACGUUGGGCUUUUCCCUUAUGGACGACGGCCCAAAGCGACACUACUAAUUGGAUGGAAGUACAGAUGAGGCCCAAAAGCACCAUUCUGCGUGAGCAACAGGCACAGCGCACGGCGCGACUGCCGACAUGUGAACAACGCACGGCCGUAGUUCCAGCAGAAAUGUGACUCUGCUAAAAGAAGGCAGAAAUGUGACUUGAGUCUUAAAAAACAAGAAAUGUGACUGUGAGAUUUAGAAAUGUACGAUUUGUGCAAAGACUAGGAUGCAAUGCCACUCGAUCCCCUGCACCUUUUCUUCGAAAGCAAAACAUGCAAUUAUUUGACCUCAAUCAUAGAGAAAUGAAUAGGCCAUUAGGACAAGGGGAGUAGUACGUACGAGGUAGCGUCGCAACUGGGAUUGCUUCGUUUUGUAGGCCGUCAUGCACAUGACUUAGACUGUGUUAGCAUAGAUUCUUUUCUUACAGAAACAGGUUUCCAGCCCCCGGCUUAAUCGGGUGACGCGUGCACUAUUAUCAGUAUAUUACCACGAUAUAUAAUAAUGUACAGCUAAAGCAGCUGACGAUCGAGCUGACCCUGAAAACCUGCGAUGGAUGAAGGAAGCUUCGCAUAACUGGAAAGCAGUAGUCCAGGGGUACGUGUCCCGGUAUAAAGUUCAGUACGUGCAAGCAUGGACGCGUAUACAAGCUAGGCAUCAUGUACACUUGGGAACGUCGCCAAAAUCCCGUCUUGAACUAUACGCAGUGCCCCGUGAAGUUAGCUGAUAUACGACCUUUCCAUCGCCUAUAAAUUUGGAGCAAUCUUGCAUGAAACCAUAUCCCAUCACAUUCGGCACCACUGCGGCUAGCUCCACAGCCACAGUGCAGUGUGCUUUUCUGUAGUCCAGAUGGCUAGGCUGGGGGCAUUGCUUCCUUUGGCCCUCGCGGCCGUCGUCCUCCUGCUCGCCGUCGCCGUGGACGCCGCCACGCCUGCCGCCAGGCCACCCAAGGCCCAGGGGCCGAAAGACCCGCAGCCACCGCGGAACGAGAAGCCCAAGCCGAAGCCGAUGAAGGUCAAGUGCAAGGACCGCAAGCUCUACCCUUACUGCUAUGGUAAACCCAUGGAGUGCCCCGCCGAGUGUUCCCAGUCGUGCUACGCCGACUGCAACUCCUGCAAAUCCGUCUGCGGUAAGCACGCUAGCUCCAUCUCCCUUGAUCUUGAUUGACGACGACGCAUCUAUUGAUCUUGUCCAUCUGUUCUGAUAUGCAGUGUGCAGCGUUCCGGGGGCCUGCGGCGACCCGCGGUUCAUCGGCGGCGACGGCAACGCCUUCUACUUCCACGGCCGGAGGGACGCCGACUUCUGCGUCGUCUCCGACCGGGACCUCCACAUCAACGCCCACUUCAUCGGCAAGCGCGGCGCCGACGGCAUGUCUCGGGACUUCACCUGGAUCCAGGCCAUCGCCGUGCUCUUCGACGGCCACCGCCUCUACGUCGGCGCCCGGAAGACCGCCGCCUGGGACGACGACGUCGACCGCAUGGAGCUCGCCCUCGACGGCGUGCCCGUGAGCCUCCCGCAGGAGGUGGACGCGACAUGGACGUCCAGCGCCGUGCCGAUGCUGUCGAUCACCCGCACCAAGGCGGCCAACGGCGUGCUCGUCGUGCUCGACGGCAAGUUCAAGAUAAGGGCCAACGCCGUGCCCAUCACCGAGGAGGAGUCGAGGGUGCACCGGUACGGCGUCACCACCGACGACUGCCUCGCGCACCUCGACCUGGCCUUCAAGUUCGACACGCUCACCGGCGACGUGCACGGCGUGGUCGGCCAGACCUACCGCUCCGACU
rnacentral:lncRNA from 1 species